rnacentral:lncRNA from 1 species
UCGGAUGAGUGUGAGGCGAGCUUUCAGUACUUCAAGACUGCUUUAACCACAACUCAAGUGUUAGUUUUGCCAUUUGCUUCAGAUUCUUAUAUGGUUUAUUGUGAUGCUUCUCGGGUUGGUAUCGAGUGUGUGUUGAUGAGCAGAUUGAGAUAAUAGUAAACGCGGCUGGCGGUGGUUGAUCUUUCUCUCCGGAAUAGUGAAGUACUGUAGCAUGCGUGAAUAGUGAUAUUAUACUGUUCAUCGGCGAUUUCAGCUUUUCAGCCGGAAUCUGAUAGCGAUUAUUGAUAAAUUUGGCUCCACGACAUUCUCCUUCUGGUCGUGAACUUAUUUCCUUUGUUUUUAUCCCAAAAAUAUAGAACAAUCGCAAC